AGUUAACGUUGGCGGCGUGCCUAACACAUGCAAGUCGAACGCGUCCUAAGGGCAACUUUAGGAUGAGUGGCGAACGGGUGAGUAUCACGUGGGUAAUCUUCCUUUAAGUGGGGGAAUAAGCUCUCGAAAGGGAGUCUAAUACCGCAUGACAUUCCGGGACACAAGUCCCGUAAUCAAAGCCGCAAGGCGCUUGAAGAUGAGCCUGCGUCCUAUUAGCUAGUUGGUGGGGUAACGGCCUACCAAGGCUCAGAUGGGUAGCCGGCCUGAGAGGGUGAACGGCCACACUGGGACUGAGACACGGCCCAGACUCCUACGGGAGGCAGCAGUGAGGAAUUUGCGCAAUGGGGGAAACCCUGACGCAGCGACGCCGCGUGGAGGAUGAAGGCCUCCGGGUCGUAAACUCCUGUCAGAGGUGAAGAAUGCCCGCAAGGGUUUGACGGUAACCUCAGAGGAAGCCCCGGUAACUACGUG
rnacentral:rRNA from 1 species